rnacentral:rRNA from 1 species
AUUGAACGCUGGCGGCAUGCUUUACACAUGCAAGUCGAACGGUAACAGGCCGCAAGGUGCUGACGAGUGGCGAACGGGUGAGUAAUGCAUCGGAACGUGCCCAGUCGUGGGGAUAACGCAGCGAAAGCUGUGCUAAUACCGCAUACGAUCUAUGGAUGAAAGCGGGGGACCGUAAGGACUCGCGCGAUUGGAGCGGCCGAUGUCAAAUUAGGUAGUUGGUGGGGUAAAGGCUCACCAAGCCAACGAUCUGUAGCUGGUCUGAGAGGACGACCAGCCACACUGGGACUGAGACACGGCCCAGACUCCUACGGGAGGCAGCAGUGGGGAAUUUUGGACAAUGGGCGCAAGCCUGAUCCAGCAAUGCCGCGUGCAGGAAGAAGGCCUUCGGGUUGUAAACUGCUUUUGUACGGAACGAAAAGGUUUGGGUUAAUACCCUGGGCCGAUGACGGUACCGUAAGAAUAAGCACCGGCUAACUACGUGCCAGCCGCCGCGGUAA